CCGCCCGGCGCCUUCCUCAGCGAGAGGCGACCGGAGCGCGGCCCGGCCGAGCGGGAGCGGGACUCCGGGGUCCACCAACGGCGCGGCCGCGCUGCCCGCACGCCCGGCCGGCCGGCCCUGCGGGCCACUCCCGACCGCGGCCUCGCUCCUGCCCCGCGGUGACCGCAAGCCCCGCUCCGUCCCCCUGCGGCCCUUCCUCGUCGCCUGUCCGUCCCCGCUGUGUCUUCGCUGUGUCCCCCGCUCCGUCCUUCUCUGUCCCCGUUCCGUCCCGCUGUGUACCCCGCUCCGUCCCCGCCCGCCGACCCCCGGCGAUGCCGCGCGGCGCCACCUGGGCGCUGCUCCUGGCCGCGGCCCUGGGGCUCGGGGCGCGCGGCGUGCGCGGCGCGGUGGCCCUCGCCGACUUCUACCCGUUCGGCGCGGAGCGCGGCGACGCCGUCACCCCCAAGCAGGACGACGGCGGCUCUGGGCUGCGGCCGCUCUCCGUGCUCUUCCCGUUCUUCGGCGCCGAGCACUCCGGCCUCUACGUGAACAACAAUGGGAUCAUCUCCUUCCUGAAGGAGGUCUCGCAGUUCACCCCGGUGGCCUUCCCCAUCGCCAAGGACCGCUGCGUGGUGGCGGCCUUCUGGGCGGACGUGGACAACCGGCGUGCAGGCGACGUGUACUACCGGGAGGCCACCGACGCAGCCACGCUGCGCAGGGCCACAGAGGAUGUCAGGCGCUACUUCCCCGAGCUCCCAGGCUUCUCCGCCUCCUGGGUGUUCGUAGCCACCUGGUACCGCGUGACCUUCUUCGGAGGCAGCUCCUCUUCCCCUGUCAACACGUUCCAGACUGUGCUCAUCACCGACGGCAAGCUCUCCUUCACCAUCUUCAACUACGAGUCCAUCACGUGGACCACGGGCACGCACGCCAGCAGCGGGGGCGACGCCGCUGGUCUGGGGGGCAUCGCGGCCCAGGCCGGCUUCAAUGCGGGUGAUGGGCGGCGCUACUUCAGCAUCCCCGGCUCACGCACAGCGGACAUGGCGGAGGUGGAGACCACCACCAACGUGGGCGUGCCCGGGCGCUGGGCGUUCAGAAUCGAUGAUGCCCAGGUGCGCGUGGGGGGCUGCGGCCAUACAACCUCCGUGUGCCUGGCCCUGCGCCCCUGCCUCAACGGCGGCAAGUGCAUCGACGACUGCGUCACGGGCAACCCCUCCUACACCUGCUCCUGCCUCUCGGGCUUCACGGGGAGGAGGUGCCACCUGGAUGUGAACGAGUGUGCUUCCCACCCGUGUCAGAACGGCGGGACCUGCACGCACGGCGUCAACAGCUUCAUCUGCCAGUGCCCGGCCGGCUUCGGGGGACCCACCUGUGAGACAGCACAGUCUCCAUGUGACGCCAGAGAGUGUGAGAACGGCGGCUGGUGCCAGGCGGAGGGCGGCUCGCCAGUGUGCGUGUGUGCCACCGGCUACACGGGUACAGCCUGUGAGACGGAUGUGGACGAGUGCGGCUCUGACCCCUGCCUGAACGGAGGGUCGUGUGUCGACCUGGUGGGGAAUUUCACCUGCCUUUGUUCAGAGCCCUUCGAGGGACCUCGCUGCGAGACAGGAAGCCACCCGGUGCCCGACGCCUGCCUCUCGGCCCCUUGCCAGAACGGGGGCACCUGUGUGGAUGCGGACCAGGGCUACGUGUGCGAAUGCCCCGAAGGCUUCAUGGGCCUUGACUGCAGGGAGAGAACCCCCAACAACUGUGAGUGCCGCAAUGGUGGCAGGUGCCUGGGGGCUAACACCACCCUCUGCCAGUGCCCUCCGGGCUUCUUUGGGCUCCUCUGCGAAUUUGAAGUCACGGCCAUGCCCUGCAACAUGAACACGCAGUGCCCUGACGGCGGCUACUGCAUGGAGUACGGCGGGAGCUACCUGUGCGUCUGCCACACCGACCACAACAUCAGCCACUCGCUGCCGUCCCCCUGCGACUCGGACCCCUGCUUCAACGGAGGCUCCUGUGACGCCCACGAUGACUCCUACACGUGCGAGUGCCCGCGGGGCUUCCACGGCCGGCACUGCGAGAAAGCCCGGCCGCGCCUUUGCAGCUCGGGGCCCUGCAGGAACGGCGGCACGUGCAAGGAAGCAGGCGGCGAGUACCACUGCGACUGCCCCUACCGCUUCACCGGAAGGCACUGCGAGAUCGGGAAGCCAGACUCAUGCGCCUCUGGCCCCUGUCACAACGGCGGCACCUGCUUCCACUACAUCGGCAAAUACAAGUGUGACUGUCCCCCAGGCUUCUCGGGACGGCACUGCGAGAUAGCCCCCUCCCCCUGCUUCCGGAGCCCGUGCAUGAAUGGGGGUACCUGCGAGGCCCUGGGGACAGACUUCUCCUGCCGCUGUCAAGCAGGGUACACAGGACGCCGGUGCCAGGCAGAGGUGGACUGCGGCCCGCCCGAGGAGGUGACGCACGCCACCCUGCGCUUCAACGGCACCCGGCUGGGCUCGGUGGCCCUGUACUCGUGUGACCGAGGCUACAGCCCGAGUGCCUCCAACCACAUCCGCGUCUGCCAGCCGCAGGGCAUCUGGAGCGAGCCUCCCCAGUGCCACGGUGACCUGGGGGCCCUCUGGGAAAUUGACGAGUGCCGAUCCCAGCCAUGCCUGCACGGGGGCUCCUGCCAGGACCGCGUCGCUGGGUACCUGUGUGUCUGCAGCCCAGGGCAUGAAGGAGCCCGCUGUGAGCUGGAGACAGACGAGUGCCUGACGCAGCCCUGCAGAAACGGAGGCUCCUGCAGGGACCUCCCGGGGGCCUUUGUCUGCCAGUGCUCCCCGGGCUUCGCUGGAGUCCACUGCGAGACAGAGGUGGACGCCUGCGACUCCAGGCCCUGCCAGCACGGAGGCCGGUGCGAGAACGGUGGCGGGGCCUACCUGUGUGUCUGCCCAGAGGGCUUCUUCGGCUACCACUGCGAGACAGUGAGCGACCCCUGCUUCUCCAGCCCCUGUGGGGGCCGCGGCUACUGCCUGGCCAGCAACGGGUCCCACAGCUGCACCUGUAAAGCGGGCUACACGGGCAAGGACUGUGCCAAAGAGCUCUUCCCACCAACGGCCCUCAAGGUGGAGCGAGUGGAGGAGAGCGGGGUCUCCAUCUCCUGGCGCCCACCCGAAGGCCCAGCCGCCCGGCAGAUGCUCGACGGCUACGCGGUCACCUACGCCUCUUCCGACGGCUCCUACCGCCGCACGGACUUUGUGGACCGGGGCCGCUCCUCGCACCAGCUCCGGGCCCUGGCAGCCGGCAGGGCCUACAACAUCUCCGUCUUCUCGGUCAAGCGCAACGCCAACAACAAGAACGACAUCAGCAGGCCCGUGGUGCUGCUUGCCCGCACGCGACCCCGCCCCGUCGAGGGCCUUGAGGUCACCAACGUGACCGCCAGCGCCGUCUCGGUGCGGUGGGCUCUGCACAGGAUCCGCCACGCCACCGUCAGCAGCGUCCGCGUGUCCAUCCGCCACCCCGAGGCCCAGGAGGACGAGUCCACCGACGUGGACAAGGGUGUGGACAAGUUCACAUUCAGGGCCCUGCUUCCAGGAAGGAGAUACACCAUCUGGGUGACUGCCCUCAGUGGGCUUGGGGGGCAGGAGCAUCCCACCGAGAGCCUGGCCUCGGCACCGCUGCAUGUGUGGACCCGGCCUCUGCCACCAGGCAACCUGACCGCCGCCCGAGUCACGGCCACCUCUGCCCACGUAGUCUGGGAUGCCCCCACUCCGGGCACCUCACUGGAGGCCUACGUCAUCAACGUGACCACUAGCCAGAGCACCAAGAGCCGCUACGUCCCCAACGGGAGGCUGGUGUCCUACACGGUGCGGGACCUGAUGCCUGGACGGCGGUACCAGCUGUCGGUGACGGCCGUGCAGAGCGCCGGGGGCGACCAGCUGCACAGCGAGCCCGCUCACCUGUACAUCAUCACCUCCGCGAGGGAUGGCGCCGACAGACGCUGGCACCGGGAAGGACUCCCCCCGCGGGCGCUCAGAACCCGACCGGCCCCCGCGCGCCUGCCGGAGCUGCGCCUGCUCAACGACCCCGGCGCCCCCGCACCGCCGACCCAGGCCCCCAGGUUCUCAGAGCUCGUGGACGGCAGGGGACGAGUGAGUGCCAGCUUCCGCAGCUCGCCUGGCAGACGGGUCGCUGUGAGACCACAACCCACGGCUCUGGUGCAGCUGGAGAACGCGGAGGAGGUCCCCGAGCAGGUCAGCCUGGCCCUCCAGCUCCCCGGACGCAGUGGUGACAAGGGCGCGGAAAAUGCCCCUGGGAACUGUUCAGAAAACCCCUGUCAGAACGGAGGCACCUGUGUGCCUGGUGAGGAUGCCCACAGCUGUGAGUGCAGCCCGGGGUUCAAAGGCAGACACUGUGAGCUUGCAGCCUGCAGAAAGGUGCCCCAGCCCUGCACACGGCUGUUCUCGGAGACAAAGUCCUUUCCGGUCUGGGAAGGAGGCGUCUGUCACCACGUGUAUAAAAGAGUCUACAAAGUGCAUCCAGACACCUGUUUCAAAGAGAGCUGCGAGUACGCGCACCAGGACCCCAGACAGGAAACAAAGUAACAGUCCUACACUGAAGAAAUCUUAAGGUACGUUCCCACAGCCAGCAGAGCUGCCGGGAAGGCUGAGGGACAUCCCCCCGGCACUCGGUCCUCGGGAGGGCUGCUGUCUCCUUGCGGAGCUCUGAGAAGAAAGCUCAGUCUGUGCUCUGUGUCAUCAACUCAGACCAGAAGGUUUCAGAACUGCCUAAGGGGGUUACAAUGGGAUCAGGAUGCUCUUGUUAUGCUCCAUCAACCUCACGAGUUUCUAAAGCCCAGGAAGACGAGGUCUAAAAUUGGAUUGAAAACAAGGUCCUGGCUGGAGUCGGUGCCCUGAGAGGCUUCUCUCCUCUGGCCUCUGGAAGACAGACGGCCAGGCCAGGCAAGCACCAGCCACCUCCUUGCCCAGCCACAACCAGGGAGACCUCCGGGACAGAACCCACAUCUGACAUACCCCAGGCUGCGGUCUCCUAGGGGGCGGUCUGCGCCACGGUGAAUGCGCACCCACGGCACACACGUCAGCCCUGGAUGGCAAGGCUGUCCACCAGGAAUGCUUCUGCAACCUUCAGAAACCAGUUCUCAGAUUCCGAGGUCAGAGAAAGAAUUCUCCCUUUGAGAGCUAGCAACAAAAUUGAGGAGGAACUGCUAUCAACAGCUUCCAAAGCAGAGACGGUGGGGCUGGGAGGAAGGGGCAGCGAUGAGGCCACACUGGAAGCGCUUCGCCCGGCUCUCCUCCGCCAGCAGAUUAUUUAUGCUGAUCGUUCGCAGGCUAGUGCUCCAUCAUAUGGACCAGCUGACUUUGAGAGAGAAAAUGAUAACACUAAGACGAAGUUUAGACACUUUUUACCUACAACCUUUUCUGUAAAGGUCAGACAGUAUUUUUGGCUUUGAGGACCCUAUGGUCUCUGUGGCAAUGACUCAGCUCUGCAGUUGUAGCACAAAUGCAGCCAACAGACGUGUGACUGACCAGGCGUGGCUGGGUUCCAAUAAAACUUUAUUUACAAAAACAGGCAGGGCCAAGUUGGCCCAUGCGCCACACUGGGUUAACCCCUGGUCUUUGAGGUCAUAGGCUUUGGCCUAUCCCCUGGAUGACAAGUCCCACCAAGGCACCAAAGACCUCAAGGGUUUCAUGGAAACCUCAAGGGUUUCAAACCCCACUUGGAAAGCCAAGGCAGCACCUCUACCAAGUACAGCGAGGGCUCCUCCCACAAGCCUAAAUGUGAUGCUGGUGAAGGUUUCUCUUAGUCCAGGACUCAAGUAACACUGUGUGGGGCUAUCAGGAAGUAAGUACCAUGUUCCACACGCUCCUUCACACACAGAUCGCCACGUCAUCCUGCCACCCCUGCUCUCUAGCACGCUUCUAAGCAGUGCUCGCUUCUCCCUGCAAAUGAGGUGAAAACCAGACAAGCCAACCCCACAUCUAGUGUGUUGAACAUUUUAGCAGCUGACCCAAACUGGAACUCAAGCCGCCGUGCAUCUUCCACUGACUCUGCCCCGAGUCAGCAUCACAGCCACAGAAAGGGGCUCUUCCUUUCAUCUUCCAUAAAAAAAAUUUUUUUUACAGAGUUAUAUUUUAGGCCUUUUAUUUUUAUUAAAGUUUUGUGUGCAUAUGUCUGUGUAUUAUGCAUUCUGUCAUUUUCAGCAAGGAGGAAGAGUCAUUUCGAGAAGUCUCUACUGUACUCCAGAAGGUCCCCAGUCUCCAAGGCCCACCUGGAGAAGACGGCUGAGUGCAGUCCAGGGGCUCUGACACUGGGAGAAUCGAGAAAACCGCAUACAUAAACACGUCCUGCUGACUGUGCUGUGGCACUGGGACCUGUCACUGUGCAACUGUGUAAGCUAUGGCGUCACAAGCAAACAGCAAGAUCAAGUGAUAUCACUGCAAAGAAGAUGAAACCCUCUACUGCCACGUUAAUAACCUCAAGCCCCUCAGCCACGAGGCAAAUGUAACGUGUUCCAGUCUUUAGCUUAGAAGCCCUUGUUUCUACAAGAAACAGUCUACUGAAUCCUGAGCUUGGUGCUGUGUUUUCUUAUGAUUAACCCAUUUUGAUGUUUUAUAAGUUAAACAUCUAGUAAAAGACUUCCUGAUGCUAAA